AAGCCAGUCAGUGAGUUUGCUUACCCAAAUGUGUUUCUGCAGAAGUUUAGACAAAGCUGGCAAUUAUAAUAAAGCCAUGUUAUAAGCCUUAAAGACAUUGAACUCAUUACUGAAAAUGGCUAUAAGA